rnacentral:rRNA from 1 species
AUGGACUGGAUUUCUGAAGCUUCUGAGUUCCACUCCAUGAUCUUUGCGGUGGCUAUAUGGCAUAUAUGGGAGAACAGGAACUCAUGUCGCAAUGGUGAGACAAUCUCUCAACCCCUUCAUAUUGCUGGAAGGAUCAAGGCUUAUAUUGAUCUUAUCUUGUUGAACAACAACAUAUGAGCAGGUUCCAGCAGGCGUGAGACAUCAACAUCAAUUCAAAAAUGGUCUCCGCCGCCGGAAGGCCUGCUCAUGAUCAAUGUGGACGCUGCAAUUUUCUCAAAAUCUAGACGCACUGGACUCGAUGUAAUGCGUGAUUAUAACGGACUGGUGCGAACUGCUUAUCGUGGCUUUCUUAAUCAUGUAUACUAUUCUGAGGUUGCUAAAACCUAUGCUACAUGCCAGGCACUCAUUCUUGCUGAAAACAAAAGGCUUCAGGUGGCUUCUGACCGUCUCUCAGUGAUUAAGAAAGUCCAACAACGAAGCAUGGACAGAUCCCUGACUGGUGCUAUUGUCUAUGAUAUCAAGAGUAGAGCUACAAAAUUUGCAUCAUGUACUUUUAGACAUGUUGUAUGUACUUGUAAUGAGGCUGCUCAUGUUCUUGCCAAAUCGGUAGAACACGAUUCUGGUUCUGGUUUAAUGAGUGUCCUAAUAUGA